UGUAGCAAAAUAGUGCAUUAAAUUUAAGAUUUAAUAAUAAAGUCAAGCUUUCUUUAGA
rnacentral:tRNA from 1 species